rnacentral:rRNA from 1 species
UCCGUAGGUGAACCUGCGGAGGGAUCAUUACAGAGUUCAUGCCCUCCGGGUAGAUCUCCCACCCACUGUUAUCACUACUCUCGUUGCUUUGGCGGGCCGCUGGGCCCUGCCCGGCCGCCGGCCCCGGCUGGCGCGUGCCCGCCAGAGACCUCACAGACUCUGAAUGUUAGUGUCGUCCGAGUAACUAUACAAUCGUUAAAACUUUCAACAACGGAUCUCUUGGUUCUGGCAUCGAUGAAGAACGCAGCGAAAUGCGAUAAGUAAUGCGAAUUGCAGAAUUCAGUGAGUCGUCGAAUCUUUGAACGCACAUUGCGCCCUGUGGUAUUCCGCAGGGCAUGCCUGUUCGAGCGUCAUUUCAACCCUCAAGCCUCGCUUGGUGUUGGGCCCUGCCCGCCGCGGCCGGCCCUAAAGACAGUGGCGGCGCCGCCUGGCCCUCAGCGUAGUACAGCUCUCGCUCCAGGGUCCGGCGGCAGCCUGCCAGAACCCCCCAACUCUGUGGUUGACCUCGGAUCAGGUAGGGAUACCCGCUGAACUUAAGCAUAUCAAUAAGCGGAGGA